rnacentral:tRNA from 1 species
GCCUCGGUGGCGUAGUGGUAAACUCGCCUUACCUGGUAAACAGGAGGGCGUGGGUUCAAUCCCAGCCAAGGCA